rnacentral:lncRNA from 1 species
CCGAGGGCCGUCCCCGUUCCCUCCGGGUCCUCCGCGCACCGCGGCUCCCGGCAGCGCGAGGGCGGCCGGCCAGAGCGGUUUCAAACUUCGAAAACUGCGCUCUGAUCGCGGGAACGUACAGACUCGUGCCGCCUCGAGUCCGAUUCUCGGAGCAGGUGUCAGGCGCCCGGCUACUGCUGUGCUGUGGGCACGGCCCGUGACGGUUCUGACGAGCAGCUGGGUAGGGCUCCGGGGGCUGCAGCCACCGAGCUCAGUAACUUCCUUUAAAAGCAACAUAAACAGCACAAAAUUAGACUGUUUUGUGGAAGCAGAAAUGCUUGGUAGUGGUAGGACUCUGUGCGCUUGCCUAGCAUGCCAUUGCAAGGACAAUCAGCAUGGAAAACCAGGACUUUGAGCUCUGCAUCUCUGCUUGAUCUUGACUUGCUGGUUGAUACCAGGAGCUGCUUCCCAGAUCCUCUUGAUUCGGUUCGAGAAGUUAGAAUUACCUGUAAUCAUUGGUAAACCAAAAGUCCCGAAUGGAGAACAAUGACAGGCGCCUACCGAGAAGGAGAAUCCCGAGGGUCCCGUUUCGGUUACGCAGUGAGAGAGCAGAGGGUGGGAGAGAGCUUGCAAGGUCAUCUCUGUUUGGAAGCAGUUCUCUUGGCCUUUAGCCCUCCCCUCAGCAGCUGACUUCCAAAUGUCCCUGUAGAAUUCUGAUUGUGGUAUUGGCUUGUGGCUGUGCUGAACUAAGAAACAGCUGAGCUGAAAUUCCCAGACUAAAAGAUAUGAUGGGUUCUAGUAACCUUGGUACCUGUCUUCUGCUUUUUUUCCAAACUAUCCAAAAUAUCCAG